rnacentral:rRNA from 1 species
UACAGAGGGUGCGAGCGUUAAUCGGAAUUACUGGGCGUAAAGCGUGCGUAGACGGCUAUCUAAGUCGGGUGUGAAAGCCCCGGGCUCAACCUGGGAAUUGCAUUCGAGACUGAAUAGCUAGGGUGCGGUAGAGGGAAGCGGAAUUUCCGGUGUAGCGGUGAAAUGCGUAGAUAUCGGAAGGAACAUCAGUGGCGAAAGCGACUUCCUGGACCAGCACCGACGUCAGGCACGAAAGCGUGGGGAGCAAACAGG